UACAGAGGUCUCAAGCGUUGUUCGGAUUCAUUGGGCGUAAAGGGAGCGUAGGUGGCGCCAUAAGUCAGGUGUGAAAUCUCGGGGCUCAACCCCGAAACUGCACUCGAUACUGCCGUGCUUGAGGACUGGAGAGGAGACUGGAAUUUACGGUGUAGCGGUGAAAUGCGUAGAUAUCGUAAGGAAGAACCAGUGGCGAAGGC
rnacentral:rRNA from 1 species